GUGGAGCCGGUUAACCAGAUAUUGAGCCAGAGCGGGAUAAUUUACCGCAUUUCAGAGAUGAAAAACCAAGGCACCGAGAGACAUGUCCACGAACACACAGCUAGGAGGUGGCAGAGAUGGGAUUCAAACCCAGGCAGCCUGGCUCGAGUCAAUUCUGUGUUACUCCCAUCCUCUUCCCUCAUGCCCAGUAGCCAGGCCAGCUUCCCAUUCUCCGGCUUCCUUUCUGAGGCCUGUUGCCACCAUUCAGGAUGCUCUUCACAGUUGUUCGUAACCAGCACCUAGUUGCCCUGCACCUGCCUUCAGAAGAC